UACAGAGGGGGCGAGCGAAAUACGGAAUUAUUGGGCGUAAAGCGUCCGGAGGUGGUUGACCACGUCUGCUGUCAAAGGGUGGGGCUUAACCUCAUAAAGGCAGUGGAAACUGGUGUGCUAGAGUGCGGUAGGGGUAAGGGGAAUUCCCAGUGUAGCGGUGAAAUGCGUAGAGAUUGGGAAGAACAUCGGUGGCGGAUGCGCCUUGCUGGGCCUGCACUGACAAGGAGGGACGAUAUCUAGGGGAGCGAAAGGG
rnacentral:rRNA from 1 species